rnacentral:rRNA from 1 species
GAUGAACGCUGGCGGCGUGCCUAAUACAUGCAAGUCGAGCGAACAGACGAGGAGCUUGCUCCUCUGACGUUAGCGGCGGACGGGUGAGUAACACGUGGAUAACCUACCUAUAAGACUGGGAUAACUUCGGGAAACCGGAGCUAAUACCGGAUAAUAUAUUGAACUGCAUGGUUCAAUAGUGAAAGACGGUUUUGCUGUCACUUUAGAUGGAUCCGCGCCGCAUUAGCUAGUUGGUAAGGUAACGGCUUACCAAGGCAACGAUGCGUAGCCGACCUGAGAGGGUGAUCGGCCACACUGGAACUGAGACACGGUCCAGACUCCUACGGGAGGCAGCAGUAGGGAAUCUUCCGCAAUGGGCGAAAGCUUGACGGAGCAACGCCGCGUGAGUGAUGAAGGUCUUCGGAUCGUAAAACUCUGUUAUUAGGGAAGAACAAAUGUGUAAGUAACUAUGCACGUCUUGACGGUACCUAAUCAGAAAGCCACGGCUAACUACGUG